CUGUGUCUCUACUUUACUGACCCCUUUAGGAUCCACACAAAGCCGUUAAACCGUCACUUGCUUUCUAGAAUGUGAAAUACAUAGUACAUUGUCAACUCCCCUAAACCAUAAAACUAACUUUAUGGACCCCACGUGACCAGAGGAGAGCCAGUGAGAGGAAUCAGAACAGAUUUUUACGAUCCAACUUGGAGAUAAAAACCCUCAUCUGUUUGACACGUAAAUGUCAAUCCUGCCUCCAUUUUAUAGUGUGGCCCAAACCAGGAAGGGGUUAGUUUAAAAAUCUAUGCAUGUCUUCAUACACCAACGCAUACAGACACGAAAAAGAGCCAGGAGAUUGUGUCCUGAUGAGCCUCGAAGAAGGACCCAUUUGACUACCGAGUAGUUCAGAAUGAAAAGCAGGGGAACUGCACCAGCAGUCGGCUGCGGCUUGUCCCAGUGGCCAAACUACAGACAGUCCGACUGAUAAAUCGACACAAAGACUCUAUUUUUUGCUUUUACUUUACUCUCCCACCCAGUGCAUUCCCAAGAAGCCAAGUUCUUAUUAAAGACGCCAUUCAGAAAUGUCUGGGAAGUUCAAUAACUUCAGCCUAAUUUUCGCGUUUCUUGCUGGACCACCUGAAUUUGAAAUUUGCAACCUUUCUUUUUAGCUUACUUUUUACUUUUUGACCUCCACCUCCCCUCUCCUGGCCUCUUUCUCGACCGUACUCCCUCUCUCCCCGGCAGGACGCUCUGUUUCCUCCCCGCUUUGUGGGAACGGGAAGCAGCCAAAUUGUUUUGGAGCUGACUGGGGUCUAAUCAUUGAUAAGCAGCGACUCUUGGAAAAGGACAGGGAUGGCCUGCAGCCGGGGGACAGACAGGACGGUAACACUGUUAUUGUAUUAGCUAUAAUCCUUUUGCGUUAGUGGCUUUGGCACAUCAAGCGGUCGGGUGGGUCAUUUUAAAACCAGGAACAGAUUCCACAUAGUUCCAUAUUCCGACAUCUAAUUUAGUAUUUACGGUGAUGACGACAAUAAGCAGUGAUGUUAAUUUUAAAACGUUAACAUCGUUAAUUAUUGUGAAGUGAAAUAAAUCAUCGGACAUGCAGAUUCAAAACAGGCCAACAGGUCAAAUUUUUUUUUCCAACAAAUGAGUCAUCAUUUAAAAAGUGAAAAGAUGAUGGAUGACUCAUUUGUUGGCAAACUAACAUAAAGAUUAAUUUUAAUUUAUUUAGAAAUGACUAAUUCUUUACCUUUUCCUGUCAGUCUUUUCCAAACAGCGAAAAUAAAAAUCCAAUCAGAACUUUUUCAACUUAACGAGCAACUUUGCAGAUGCUGCUUGCUUGGCUUUUCUCGUGUUACAAACAGGCUACAGAAUGCGAAAAUGAACCAAAGUUACUCCAAAACAAAACUAAUCAAAAAACCUAACAGGUCUGUCGCAUGAAGCUAUAAUUGCAAGUCGGCAUGGAGGGGCAUCAUGCGUCACUAAUCUGUAAUAAACUGCAAAAACACGGCAACAAUAGUAAAACAUUGAGUUCAUUUAAAUUAACCUUAAAAAUCCAGGUAUCUAUACUUGACUUUUAUUAACAAUAACUGGAACAUUCAUUAAUUCUAGUCUUCAUUCCAAUAUUGUAUGAUGAGGAUUUUGAUUAUUUUUAUGACAUUUGAGAAAAUGUAAUGUUUGUUGCUUAAAUGUUGUUUUAUGUUUUGUUUUUUUUUUUACCUGUAAAGCACAUUUAACUGCCUGUUGAUGAAAUGUGUUAUGUAAAUAAACCUAUAUUGCAUGAGGUUUAUUUCAAAUAUAAUAAUGUAUACAAUUUUUUUAUAAACCAAUUUUAUAAAUUGUUAAAAAGGUUUUUGACCCAGUUAUACAGAUCAUAUAAAGAAAUCCUCAGUCGAUGAAUGAUUUCUGGUUUGUUGUGGCUGCUGACUUUAAAGCUGCUGAUGUUCAGACCGUCUCAGGUUAACCGAUAACCUCAUUAAACUGGAUUUCAAAACACGAUUCUUUCAUUUCAAGCCUUACAAUCGGUGCGGCUUCCUACAGUAGUUAGUGCUGAAGAGACGCGUGUUGCAGUACAGACUGCUGUGUGUCGUUGCAGGUGUGUUGGACAGUCGGGAGGCAAAAAUCAUCAAACGGCAGAGAAAUGGAGAGUUCUGCAAGCAGUUUGGAGCUUUUGGACCCAAAACAGCACCGUGUUUUCAGUAGCGCCAGCGGAAGGGGAGCAUACAGUACCACUCUUUAGAAAUACUUUCACUGUGCUGCCGUGUUCAACUCAGACUUGUCCUUCAGAUCGACGCAGAGCCGUUUAACUGUUAGCCCAGCAGCUUUUUAUUUACAAUAAAUGAAUAUAUAAGUGAAGCACACUAAAUAUUAUGGCUUUCAUAUUUUGCUGUGUCACUUCUAUUAUCUUACGUUAACAGGAUAUAUCAAUUAUUAUUAUUAUUAUUAUUAUUAUUAUUAUUAUUAUUAUUAUUAUUAUUAUUAUUAUUAUUAUUAUUAUUAUUAUUGUUAUUAUUAUCAUUGUUGUUGUUGUUGUUGUUGUUGUUGUUGUUUUGUUGUGGAUGGGGCUCAAACUGCAUUUUCCUUGGCUAACGAUUUACUUACGCACAGGAUGUUAAUGCAUCUUGAGAAACGUUCAGCCAUGACAUGUUUUUUUUUUUUAUCAGGUCUUUUUCCUUGGUUUAGACUGGAACGUGUGCAACAUUAUGAAAAUAAAAACGCUUACAUGUUUACAGUCUUGUCAAUGUA